rnacentral:lncRNA from 1 species
AAUUUCCCUGUGUCCUUUCCUAUGGCUGUGGUUGGAGAGACGUAGAGAGAGGCUGCUGCGAAGUCACAAUCCAGCCACACGGCAUUGAUCCUGUCAUGGCUGGUGUGGUUGUGUCCACACGUGACCUGAACAUCCUUCCCACUCAGUACCAAAUACAGUCAAUUCUGUGGCUUGAUGGUGCGUGGACAUAACAUUCAGAUAUCGCCCAUGAUGAGGAAACAGAAGCUGGGAUAUGUGAGUAAACAUUUCCAAGGUCCUGCAGCUAAUCAAUGGUUGACAACUUCUUUCCUCUGCCUAUGUUGCCAUCCAUGUCAUGGUUUGUGUCAAGACUCUAGGAGAAGUCUACCAUCAGCACCACAGCUACUGUGCACAAAUCCAGAAUGCCAGACUGAAGUCAGAAGGAAAGAGAUGAUGCAGCUCAUUGCUGAUGCUGAGAUCCAACGUCCAGUGCCUGAGUACCCCUGGAUUCUGAGCACUAGGGGCUGGACUGUGGAGACCAUCAGUUCAUAACAUCCUGUCCCUGCUCCCUGCUGUAGAUGACUGAGACCAGAAAGAAGAUUGGAAAAAUCUCCCAUGACCAAGGAAAAUUGUGAAAAAUAUUUCUGAUAUUUUGUCUAUGCAUUUUAUUUUUGAGGGUGUUUUUUAUAUUAGUGUGACUAUUUUGUAUUUCCUACCCUGUUGUAAACUUUUUAAAAAUUGCUCUUACAGUUAUUACUAAGUAUAUGAUUUAAAAUCCCUAAUUAGGGUUCUUAAACAAGGGAGAAGCACUCUCAUACCCCUAGAACAAGAUGAACAAAAGAAGGAGGAAAAAUCUUGACCUCCGUAAGAUCCAGGAUGGCACGUGCAAGGCACUGACACAGCAUCUGCCGGCAUCACUGACUCUCCUGGACCCCAGAAGCCCAGUUCCCCAGGCUCUGAAACCCUGCAGCAAUGAAAAGGAAGCACAGGCAAACCAUAAGGAAGAUAAUUUUUCUACUAAAAAAUAAAUAGAAAUGCAUCCUUAGAGGCAGGUUUCAUGAGGACACAGAGAAUCCGGUUUUGUGUGUGCCUGAUUUCGUUUUUCUGUCAAAGAGAUACAAAACAAUCAACUGAGUUAUCUUGAACUUACAAAGAUUAAAAAUAAUCAAUUCCUGUUACUAUUUUCAAUUUUUCCCCCAUUUUACUUCUUUAGGUAUGAAGAAAUGUAGCCUAUUAAAACCUGGAUUAAUAAAAACCUUUCAUUAACUUUU